UCGCCCUUCGGUUGAUCCUGCCGGAGGCUACCGCUAUUGGAGUUCGAUUAAGCCAUGCGAGUCGCGAGAAAUUAGAUUCUCGGCGUACCGCUCAGUAACACGUGGGUAACCUGCCCUAUGCUGGAUAAUAACCUCGGGAAACUGAGAAUAAUGAUCCAUAGUUCACUACGCCUGGAACGGUGAGUGGAUGAAAGCUCCGGCGGCAUAGGAUGGGCCUGCGGCGUAUCAGGUUGUAGGGGGUGUAACGUACCCUCUAGCCCUCUACGCGUACGGGUGUUGGGAGACAUAGCCCGGAGAUGGAUUCUGAGACACGAAUCCAGACCCUACGGGGUGCAGCAGGCGCGAAAACUUGGCAAUGCGAGAAAUCGUGACCAGGGAACUCCAAGUGCAUCGGGUAAGACCGGUGCUUUUCUUGACUCUAAAUAGGUCUUGGAAUAAGGGGUGGGUAAGGACGGUGCCAGCCGCCGCGGUAAUACCGGCGCCUCAAGUGGUAGUCGCUUUUAUUGGGCCUAAAACGUCCGUAGCCGGUCUGAUACAUUCGUGGGUAAAUCAACCAGCUCAACUGGUUGAAUUCUGCGAGGACGGUCAGACUUGGGACCGGGAGAGGUGUGGGGUACGCUCAGGGUAGGGGUAAAAUCCUGUCAUCCUGAGCGGACCACCUGUUGCGAAGGCGCCACACUAGAUCGGAUCCGACGGUCAGGGACGAAGCCUAGGGGCACGAACCGGAUUAGAUACCCGGGUAGUCCUAGGUGUAAACGCUGUGGACUUGAUGUUGGGGGUGCUCCGAGCACUCUCAGUGCCGCAGGGAAGCCGUUAAGUUUGCCGCCUGGGAAGUACGUACGCAAGUAUGAAACUUAAAGGAAUUGGCGGGGGAGCACCACAAGGGGUGAAGCCUGCGGUUCAAUUGGAGUCAACGCCAGAAAUCUUACCCGGAGAGACAGCAGAAUGAAGGUCAAGCUGAAGACUUUACCAGACAAGCUGAGAGGUGGUGCAUGGCCGUCGCCAGCUCGUGCCGUGAGAUGUCCUGUUAAGUCAGGUAACGAGCGAGAUCCCUGCCUCUAGUUGCCACCAUUACUCUCAGGAGUAGUGGGGCGAAUUAGCGGGACCGCCGCAGUUAAUGCGGAGGAAGGAAGGGGCCACGGCAGGUCAGUAUGCCCCGAAACUCUGGGGCCACACGCGGGCUGCAAUGGUAAUGACAAUAGGUUCCGAAUCCGAAAGGAGGAGGUAAUCCCUAAACAUUACCACAGUUAUGACUGAGGGCUGCAACUCGCCCUCACGAAUAUGGAAUCCCUAGUAACUGCGUGUCAUUAUCGCGCGGUGAAUACGUCCCUGCUCCUUGCACACACCGCC
rnacentral:rRNA from 1 species